UACGUAGGAGGCAAGCGUUGUCCGGAGUUACUGGGCGUAAAGCGUGCGUAGGCGGCGUGUUAAGUGAGAUGCGAAAUCUUGUGGCUCAACCAUAUAGACUGUGUCUCAUACUGGCAUGCUAGAGAAUGGCAGAGGCAAGUGGAAUUACCGGUGUAGCAGUGAAAUGCGUAGAGAUCGGUAGGAACACCCAAUGGCGAAGGCAGCUUGCUGGGCCAUUUCUGACGCUAAGGCACGAAAGCGUGGGGGAGCGAACAGG
rnacentral:rRNA from 1 species